rnacentral:rRNA from 1 species
GACGAACGCUGGCGGCGUGCUUAACACAUGCAAGUCGAACGGAACGUCCCUGCUUUUGUGGGGUGCUCGAGUGGCGAACGGGUAAGUAACACGUGAGUACCCUGCACUUGACUUUGGGAUAUCUUCAUGAAACUGGGGCUCAUACCGGCUAGGAGCUCCUGCUGCUUGGUGGGGGUGGGAAAGUUUCGGCGGUUGGGGAUGGACUCGCGGCUUAUCAGCUUGUUGGUGGGGUAGUGGCUUACCAAGGCUUUGACGGGUAGCCGGCCUGAGAGGGUGACCGGCCACAUUGGGACUGAGCUGAGGCACAGACUAGUAUGGGACGCAGCAGAGGAGAAGAGUACACAAGGGGAGGAAGGAUGAUGUAGCAAAGCAGCGCGGGGGAAGAGGGCAAGGGGGUAGUGUACUGAUGUCGCCUGUGACGAGACGAGAGUGACGGUACCGGGUAAAGAAGCACCGGCUAACUACGUG